rnacentral:lncRNA from 11 species
UGAAGCAAAGCUGGUGCGGUUAACACAGGCGGCUAAGCAAAAUUUGUCAAGAUAAUUGUUUAAAGCUACAGUAAAAAUUGAAAACAUUGGCUUGUCUCCAAAUAGGUAACGAAUAAAGACAGAGCUGCAUUAGUCUUCCCUGAAAGAGCAUUUUGUGUUUCUGAUGUUACAAUAAGAAAAAAAAUGGUUUCAUGAAUUUGAUCUUGGGAGUAACAAGAGUGGAAGUCACCUAUAAGAAACUAUCUUCAAUGCAUUUCUUCUUUUUCCCCCUCCAGUAUUUUUUUUAUCAUGUCGGAAGCGCCUUGAGAACAUACUGCAAGUUGCUUCUGGUUUGAGAUAAUUGGCUGUCUACAGAGACGUUGCCUAGGGGGUGCCUGGAUGUGUUAGCAUCCUGCCGGGAGGCUUCUCUCAGGUCCCCGCAAGCUAGAGCUGACAGACAGGAGCUUACCCUGUUUCGCAGAUUCGAACUGGCAACCUUUAGAUCAACAACCCCACCUUCAAGUCACCAGUCCAGCCGGCACAAGGGUUUACCCACUGCGCCACCGCACAUCUCAAAACCAACAAAACAAGUGAAGUAUGCUGUGAAAAUUUGGUUUUGUCCUCCACAAAGGCGGCUUUGGGAUUCGGCACUCUUCUGUGUAUUCCUCACAGGCCACAAAAAAGCACCGUAUCAAGCAAAUGGCAAAGUACAACAGCUUGAGGUUGAAAGCGUGGUGUCAUAGAGGCUGCAUUUACUUCAUCAGCAGUUUAAACCUCAUCAUUUGGACCAAAUCACUCCUCAUUUGUGAAGAUCUGUUAAAGGGGCCUUAUUUCUGAAGAUAUGAGUUUUUCCAUCAUGGGGAUUGUGACACCUUUAGUUCCAAGGACUUUAGACGGAGCAACGGUUUCUUCUAUUCCAGACUCUUCAAAUCCUGGGCUAUCUCUGUGGACAGAGCUCACAGACACCCUCCCCAUCCAGGCUCCAAGUCACAAUCACAAUCCCUAUAGCAACUGUGGUAUCUGCUGAAUUUGUGCACACAUUGGUUAGCUAACACUCACUGGAUUUCUUCUUCGAGGCUGGUCUCUUAGGUUAACGGAUUCACCUUCCACUUUACCUUUGACUUGCAACACAUAUAUUGUCUGUUGUGUGAAGGCUUGCCUUUUUUGUCCUAGACUCCAUGUUUUCCUCUAUGGAGAAAUGCACUGAAUUGUUUUAUAGUUCUGGCCUCCAGAAUGUCACAGUGAUGAAUCCUAGCACUUUAGUCAGGCAGAGCUAUGUGGACUCCUCUGUUUAUAACCUCAAUCCCAAAUAUUUUUCAAAGUGAAAUGACAAAUAAAACCAUCCAGCUGCCAGUUCUCUUUAGGUCUGCAAGCCACACACCAUACUAAAACAAUCCUGCUGUCAGCAGUCCAUCAACCCUCCUCCAUAAGUCCAACCUGGUGGGUCUAGAAGUAUCAUUUGAUCUAGACUUGGGGAUCUCAUAAUUUCAAAAUACAGGCAGUCUCCAAGUUAUGAACAAGAUAG